rnacentral:rRNA from 1 species
CGGUUCAAGCCCCGGGCUGUUCUAGUGGCGGACGGGUGAGUAACGCGUGGGCAACCUGCCCCGUACCGGGGGAUAACACCUGGAAACAGGUGCUAAUACCGCAUAAUAAGAGGUUCCGCAUGGGACCUCCUUGAAAACUCCGGUGGUACGGGAUGGACCCGCGUCUGAUUAGCUGGUUGGCGGGGUAACGGCCCACCAAGGCGACGAUCAGUAGCCGGCCUGGAGAGGGUGGACGGCCACCAUUGGGACUGAGACACGGCCCAGACUCCUACGGAAGGCAGCAG